rnacentral:snRNA from 1 species
UCUUUAUUGCAAUUUUCUGUUAU